GAGGGGAUAGCUCAGUGGUAGAGCGUGUGCUUAGCAUGCGCAAGGUCCUGGGUUCAAUCCCCAGUGCCUCCA
rnacentral:tRNA from 1 species